rnacentral:rRNA from 1 species
GACGAACGCUGGCGGCGUGCUUAACACAUGCAAGUCGAGCGGUAAGGCCCUUUCGGGGGUACACGAGCGGCGAACGGGUGAGUAACACGUGGGUGACCUGCCUUUAGCUCUGGGAUAAGCCUGGGAAACUGGGUCUAAUACCGGAUAUGACUCCAUGAUGCAUGUUGUGGGGUGGAAAGCCUUGUGCGGCUGGAGAUGGGCCCGCGGCCUAUCAGCUUGUUGGUGGGGUGANGGCCUACCAAGGCGACGACGGGUAGCCGGCCUGAGAGGGCGACCGGCCACACUGGGACUGAGACACGGCCCAGACUCCUACGGGAGGCAGCAGUGGGGAAUCUUGCGCAAUGGGCGAAAGCCUGACGCAGCGACGCCGCGUGAGGGAUGACGGCC